CAGCCUUGAAAUGCAAGAUGCAAAAGCCUGGGGUUGCUCCUACGCCUUGCAGAAAGAGACGGGGAGGCAAAGUCCAGGGAAGUGUUUGUGUGUCUCUCUUCAGAAGUGUGUGAAACUUUGCUCUCCAAGCACCUGUGGUCAGGAGAGGCGGAAAACUCCUGGGAGGGCUGUGUUGCCUUGAUGCAGCAGAUUUUAUCUGGGGAUGGCCAAGUUCUUUGUUGGCUUGAUUUGUUUGCCAGCAGAGCUGAGCCUGGGAGCGGAGGCUUUGAGGGGCCAGGAGCCGGGAGUUGGGAAACCAGGUCUGCUCAAGCCCAAAUCAUUAGCCUCUCGUUAGUGAAGGCGCCAGGGAGACAGCCUUGAAGUGAGGCUCCAUCCCUCUUUGCUGCUGCUGCUGCUGCCGCCCUUGGACAAACUGGGAAAGGAUGUCUUCCCCUGUGAACUUGAGGGUGGGGCUGGUCUUCAGUGCCAAGACCCUUCUUCUGCACCCUGCAUAAAUCAGACAAAUGUGCACAUCCCGCCCCCCCCACCCCCACUGCCAAAAAACACACACAAACCCUUGCAUUUAUUUUUAUUUAUUUAUUUUUACAUUUCUAUACCGCCUUUCGUUAAAAGAAAACCCCAAGGCGGUUAUGCAUUUAUGCUGCUGUUUUCUCCUUUUGUGUAGUUCUGGCUUUCCCAACAACCCGCUUGGCUUCUGAGAUUUCAGCAGAUGUUGAGCAUGUGUACUUCUAAUGGAGUCUUUCCAGCCCUACAAACUUCUCUCCCUUCAAAUUAAAGCGGAGAUUAAAGUGAUUUUAAUUUUGUGUCCAGCACCACAUCCGAGAGUGCUUCUGUUGUGAUGGUGAAGUUCAAACGGGGCCCCACAUCUCGGACUGGCUGGGACACAAUCCUCACAAAGUGCUGCACUUUGAGUUGGCUUUGAAGAGGUGGAGCCCAGGUGAGGCAAUGCGUCCUGGUGCCUCCAAGUUGCCAACACAAAUGUUUUUUUCUUUCUUUCUGACAACUUCCAACGCUGUCUGCGACUUCUCGUUAAACUGCUCUUAUAAAAUGUUAACAAGU